rnacentral:rRNA from 1 species
AAUAGAUACCCAGGUAGUCCUAGCCGUAAACGAUGAACACUAGGCGUAGUCGGUAUCGACCCCGGCUGUGCCGUAGCUAACGCAUUAAGUGUUCCGCCUGGGGAGUACGGCCGCAAGGCUAAAACUCAAAGGAAUUGACGGGGGCCCGCACAAGCAGCGGAGCGUGUGGUUUAAUUCGUCGCAACGCGAAGAACCUUACCAGGGCUUGACAUGUGGCGGAAAACGGCGGAAACGUCGUCCUCCCGCAAGGGACCGUCAUGCAGGUGUUGCAUGGCUGUUGUCAGCUCGUGUCGUGAGAUGUUGGGUUAAGUCCCGCAACGAGCGCAACCCCCGUGGCAUGUUGUAUCUCUCAUGCCAGACUGCCGAGAGAAACUCGGAGGAAGGUGGGGAUGACGCCAAGUCAGCAUGGCCCUUACGUCCUGGGCUACACACACGCUACAAUGGCCGGUACAACGGGUUGCCAAACCGCGAGGUGGAGCUAAUCCCUUAAAGCCGGUCUCAGUUCGGAUUGCAGGCUGCAACUCGCCUGCA